rfam:Salmo salar isolate Sally breed double haploid chromosome ssa01, whole genome shotgun sequence.
UCAAUAAAUGUAUGUAUUCGCUCUGGAUAAGAGCGUCUGCUAAAUGACUCAAA